CAAAAACUUAAAACUCAAAAGACUUGACGGUACUUCACACCAACCUAGAGGAGCCUGUCUAAUAACCGAUAAUCCACGAUCAACCCAACCUUUUCUAGCCCUACAGUCUAUAUACCGCCGUCGCCAGCUUACCUUGUGAAAGAAAUAAAGUAAGCCAAAUAGCAUCACCCUAACACGACAGGUCGAGGUGUAACCAAUGAAAAGGACCAAGAUGGGCUACAUUUCUUUUAACCAAGAAAAACGAACAGACUAUGAAACUAGAAACUGAAGGCGGAUUUAGCAGUAAGCUAAGAACAAAAUACUUAACCGAAAUUAACGCAAUGAAGUGCGC
rnacentral:rRNA from 1 species